rnacentral:rRNA from 1 species
GGGUUGUGAGGUUAAGCGACUAAGCGUACACGGUGGAUGCCCUGGCAGUCAGAGGCGAUGAAGGACGUGCUAAUCUGCGAUAAGCGUCGGUAAGGUGAUAUGAACCGUUAUAACCGGCGAUUUCCGAAUGGGGAAACCCAGUGUGAUUCGUCACACUAUCAUUAACUGAAUCCAUAGGUUAAUGAGGCGAACCGGGGGAACUGAAACAUCUAAGUACCCCGAGGAAAAGAAAUCAACCGAGAUUCCCCCAGUAGCGGCGAGCGAACGGGGAGCAGCCCAGAGCCUGAAUCAGUGUGUGUGUUAGUGGAAGCGUCUGGAAAGGCGUGCGAUACAGGGUGACAGCCCCGUACACAAAAAUGCACAUACUGUGAGCUCGAUGAGUAGGGCGGGACACGUGGUAUCCUGUCUGAAUAUGGGGGGACCAUCCUCCAAGGCUAAAUACUCCUGACUGACCGAUAGUGAACCAGUACCGUGAGGGAAAGGCGAAAAGAACCCCGGCGAGGGGAGUGAAAAAGAACCUGAAACCGUGUACGUACAAGCAGUGGGAGCCUCUUUUAUGGGGUGACUGCGUACCUUUUGUAUAAUGGGUCAGCGACUUAUAUUCUGUAGCAAGGUUAACCGAAUAGGGGAGCCGAAGGGAAACCGAGUCUUAACUGGGCGUUAAGUUGCAGGGUAUAGACCCGAAACCCGGUGAUCUAGCCAUGGGCAGGUUGAAGGUUGGGUAACACUAACUGGAGGACCGAACCGACUAAUGUUGAAAAAUUAGCGGAUGACUUGUGGCUGGGGGUGAAAGGCCAAUCAAACCGGGAGAUAGCUGGUUCUCCCCGAAAGCUAUUUAGGUAGCGCCUCGUGAAUUCAUCUCCGGGGGUAGAGCACUGUUUCGGCAAGGGGGUCAUCCCGACUUACCAACCCGAUGCAAACUGCGAAUACCGGAGAAUGUUAUCACGGGAGACACACGGCGGGUGCUAACGUCCGUCGUGAAGAGGGAAACAACCCAGACCGCCAGCUAAGGUCCCAAAGUCAUGGUUAAGUGGGAAACGAUGUGGGAAGGCCCAGACAGCCAGGAUGUUGGCUUAGAAGCAGCCAUCAUUUAAAGAAAGCGUAAUAGCUCACUGGUCGAGUCGGCCUGCGCGGAAGAUGUAACGGGGCUAAACCAUGCACCGAAGCUGCGGCAGCGACGCAUAUGCGUUGUUGGGUAGGGGAGCGUUCUGUAAGCCUGUGAAGGUGUACUGUGAGGUAUGCUGGAGGUAUCAGAAGUGCGAAUGCUGACAUAAGUAACGAUAAAGCGGGUGAAAAGCCCGCUCGCCGGAAGACCAAGGGUUCCUGUCCAACGUUAAUCGGGGCAGGGUGAGUCGACCCCUAAGGCGAGGCCGAAAGGCGUAGUCGAUGGGAAACAGGUUAAUAUUCCUGUACUUGGUGUUACUGCGAAGGGGGGACGGAGAAGGCUAUGUUGGCCGGGCGACGGUUGUCCCGGUUUAAGCGUGUAGGCUGGUUUUCCAGGCAAAUCCGGAAAAUCAAGGCUGAGGCGUGAUGACGAGGCACUACGGUGCUGAAGCAACAAAUGCCCUGCUUCCAGGAAAAGCCUCUAAGCAUCAGGUAACAUCAAAUCGUACCCCAAACCGACACAGGUGGUCAGGUAGAGAAUACCAAGGCGCUUGAGAGAACUCGGGUGAAGGAACUAGGCAAAAUGGUGCCGUAACUUCGGGAGAAGGCACGCUGAUAUGUAGGUGAAGUCCCUCGCGGAUGGAGCUGAAAUCAGUCGAAGAUACCAGCUGGCUGCAACUGUUUAUUAAAAACACAGCACUGUGCAAACACGAAAGUGGACGUAUACGGUGUGACGCCUGCCCGGUGCCGGAAGGUUAAUUGAUGGGGUUAGCGGUAACGCGAAGCUCUUGAUCGAAGCCCCGGUAAACGGCGGCCGUAACUAUAACGGUCCUAAGGUAGCGAAAUUCCUUGUCGGGUAAGUUCCGACCUGCACGAAUGGCGUAAUGAUGGCCAGGCUGUCUCCACCCGAGACUCAGUGAAAUUGAACUCGCUGUGAAGAUGCAGUGUACCCGCGGCAAGACGGAAAGACCCCGUGAACCUUUACUAUAGCUUGACACUGAACAUUGAGCCUUGAUGUGUAGGAUAGGUGGGAGGCUUUGAAGUGUGGACGCCAGUCUGCAUGGAGCCGACCUUGAAAUACCACCCUUUAAUGUUUGAUGUUCUAACGUUGACCCGUGAUCCGGGUUGCGGACAGUGUCUGGUGGGUAGUUUGACUGGGGCGGUCUCCUCCUAAAGAGUAACGGAGGAGCACGAAGGUUGGCUAAUCCUGGUCGGACAUCAGGAGGUUAGUGCAAUGGCAUAAGCCAGCUUGACUGCGAGCGUGACGGCGCGAGCAGGUGCGAAAGCAGGUCAUAGUGAUCCGGUGGUUCUGAAUGGAAGGGCCAUCGCUCAACGGAUAAAAGGUACUCCGGGGAUAACAGGCUGAUACCGCCCAAGAGUUCAUAUCGACGGCGGUGUUUGGCACCUCGAUGUCGGCUCAUCACAUCCUGGGGCUGAAGUAGGUCCCAAGGGUAUGGCUGUUCGCCAUUUAAAGUGGUACGCGAGCUGGGUUUAGAACGUCGUGAGACAGUUCGGUCCCUAUCUGCCGUGGGCGCUGGAGAACUGAGGGGGCUGCUCCUAGUACGAGAGGACCGGAGUGGACGCAUCACUGGUGUUCGGGUUGUCAUGCCAAUGGCACUGCCCGGUAGCUAAAUGCGGAAGAGAUAAGUGCUGAAAGCAUCUAAGCACGAAACUUGCCCCGAGAUGAGUUCUCCCUGACUCCUUGAGAGUCCUGAAGGAACGUUGAAGACGACGACGUUGAUAGGCCGGGUGUGUAAGCGCAGCGAUGCGUUGAGCUAACCGGUACUAAUGAACCGUGAGGCUUAACCUUACAACGCCGAAGGUGUUU